rnacentral:lncRNA from 1 species
GUGCAUUAUAGUUAUGUGUAAUAGUGGGUUUGGGUUCAUGGUUCAACUGUUUAGUUAUUCUUAUACAGAAUACAGUAUUAAACCCUGCUCAGUACCCGCUGCAGGUGAAGCCAGAUUUAAAGAUAGGUAGUUAGUGUAGUUGGGUAAAUCGGGUCUAAUAUCCAGUAAGAUAAAGAAAAUGGAGGCCAUUAUUGAAAAUGAAGUCCAGGAAACCAGAGCAGCACUUGGGGACAUUGAAAUGUUAAUGUCCCCAAGGGCCAGAACCCAUCCUAAGGAACUGCUGAUGAAACAGCUGCCAGCAAACUGGGAGGUGCUGGUCAGACCGCCCCAGCCUUCCUGCCCAGAGGACUCCUCCAGCCCACCUGUCUCCACCUCUGCCUUCCCACCUGCAUCCCAUCACUGCAGGACGGAGGGAAACAAAGUUCAGGGGUGUGGGAGGACUAACAGGAGACCUUAGCUGUAAAAGAGGGAACACCUCCCCUUCCACGGAUUCAGCCUUUUGGUCCCCUUCUUCCUCCAGGAGAAGUCUUUUCUGCUGUCCUUUAAUAAAGCUUCUACUUUCCACUCUACACUUGCCUCCACGUGCUUCUUGUGCUGAAUUUUUUCUUUUUCCAGUAUUGGAGAUUGAAGCUAGGGCCUUCUGCCUGCUAGCUAAGUGCUCUACCACUGAGCUAUACCCCAUCCCU